UUCUGCCACGUACAGCGUUCGUUGCUGGCCCUGUCCUUUUUUUUGUGCCCAGUGGUUGUCGCUAGUAAAAAAGCCGCCAAGAAUUUUCAGCUGUGCACUCAGUCGCCGUUUUGUUGCCGGUCAGGACAGAAGGAAGCAUUGCAUCACUCCGAUCAGUUUCUGUUAACAGGACGCAGGCCACCUUCAACGCACGGGCAGCGAGACACUGCAGCCGAGACUCAAAUCCCGGGCAAUCCUUCCCGCCACCGCAAGCUUCAGCAAUGUUGGACAGGAGUGUAGACGCACUGUGCACAAUCUUCUACGUCAUUCCGUUUGAAGAACUGUAUGCCUUAGACACCCUUAAUUAUCCGUGGCUUCAGAGGAUCACCGGGAUGAGUCUGGUGCCGGCUGUCGAAUGCAUCAGCGCGAGCAUCAAAGCCGUGGAGAACCCCACGGUGCGUCUCAGGUGCGUCGCCUUGCUGUACUCCUGGCUCAUACCACGACACGUGUACCACACGUGGAUCCUUUAUCGCCUCAACGAGUCGUUGCAGGCGCAGGACCUCGCAAAAGUUAUUUGUAUGCUGCAAAGGGCGGUGCAGAAUUCUUGCGAUGGCGUGGGAAGCGGAAUCGACAUCGGAACUGCCGUGUGCAUCACCGUUCUGUUGGCCGACGAGGGGUGCUCCUCGUUCGAGUACACUCCGGCGUGCUUUUGCGUGUGGCGAGGUCUGCCCUUUGUGGCCGUCCACGCCUCGGAGGCGACUGUUGGUCGAUCCAGGUACUGGGCCGCCCUCGCCAAAGUGAUCGGGGAUCUCCAUGACUGGCAUCGCGGAGUUUACGCUAACCUGAGCUCCGCGUAUGCAGAGGCGGUCAGAAACCGCGCAGCCCCUGUGAAGGUCGGAAAAAUUCAGCAUGAAGAACUGCACUGUGAAACCCCUGACCAAGCGGGUACCAUGGCACAAAGGGCAGCUAUCUUCUUUGAUUUUUUGUAAAUAAAUAAUAGGGGCCGAAAA